rnacentral:rRNA from 1 species
UACGAAGGUGGCAAGCGUUGUUCGGAUUUACUGGGCGUACAGGGGGCGUAGGCGGUUGGUUAAGCCCUCCGUGAAAUCUCCAGGCUUAACCUGGAAAGUGCAGAGGGGACUGUUCAGCUAGAGGAUGGGAGAGGAGCGCGGAAUUCCCGGUGUAGCGGUGAAAUGCGUAGAGAUCGGGAGGAAGGCCGGUGGCGAAGGCGGCGCUCUGGAACAUUUCUGACGCUGAGGCUCGAAAGCGUGGGGAGCAAACAGG